UCUUUUCUCUUUCUAAAACAAAGAGAGUGUUCUUAUUUUAACCUUCUCCCCGCAUCUAAGAUAUUUUAUUUCUCUGUUCUGAACUUUUUAAUUCUUUGCCUUUGUAGUCAAAAAUUGAUCAAAGAGACUGUCAUAAAAAAAUUGUUCAAAGAGAUACGGGAUCAAAAUUUUGAAGUUGUCGUCCAGUGUGAUUAUAGGUUCUACGUCAAAAAACAACUUCUGUGAAGCAAGAUUACACAAAAAUGCAGACCAUGAACCAAAUAGUCUCCGAAUUGAAGGAUUUUGUCAAAAAGUUACUCAUUGCCGGAAAAGUUCAUUCAUGGGAUUUCAUCAAAGAUUUUGCAAUAUAAAAUCAGUAAAAUUUGUCUGCACUAUUCUCACUAUUAACUUUGUUCACAAUUGCAGGAGACCAAAAGCAACUGGAUAACGAUUAAGCGUGCUCUGUGGCUUGUAGUGGAGUCCCAACGAUAUCUUCUAUGACGAACCUAUUGAAGAAAGGUUGAAGUUGCUGCCAGGUCUACACUCAGAUAUUAAGAGGAGUGGAUUUUCCAGUAGUCCGUUGCUGGACUCAUUAAACGGGUCUUUGCAUAACUCAGACAAGUAUGUACCAAAGGAACAUCCGCUAACUGGCUUUGUAACAAUUCUUCCUAUAGAACAGUCAAAAGAAAGUAAAUAGUUGUUGAUGGAAGGCGUUCUUUGGUUCUUGUCGUUUUCAUUGGUGGAGACAUCUGCAGAGAUCUCAGCUCUUCACUUCCUAAGCGCCCAUGUCAGUCUACUAAGACUUAAUCAUGUAAAUUCCCAGCUCUCGUUGGAAACACACUAUAGAAAAGGAACUCAAAAGAUAAAUUACACUGUUAUACUAUUACAGGAAGUGAUGGAAUAUGACAUUAUUGUAGCAACUACAAAAAUUGUCAACGGAAGCACAUUGACAUAAACAUUUGUGGAGAAAAUGGGAUUGUUUGCUAAGACCUAUUUGGUCGAUUAUCACUGGAAAAUCUAGCUGCUUGCGCGAUAGGGACCCGUAGUUUUUGGUGCUACAUUUUUAUAUACAUGUGAGAAGAUCAAGUAGACUUAUUGUUCCUAAGAUGUUCCUCUCGUGAUAGGUUGUGAACAUUUUUUCUGCUUGGAUUUGUAACGAACACAACUAUGUUGUCUUUAUUAAGGUAUUUCCUAAGAACGCCCUGUGUGCUUUGAGUGGUAUAAAGAUUGGAGUUUGAUUAGUUUGUUAUCUAAAUUACAUUUGGUUCGUUUGAGAAA